GAUCAUGGCUCAGAAUGAACGUUGGCGGCGUGGAUUAGGCAUGCAAGUCGAGCGCUCAUCAGCAAUGGUGGGAGCGGCGAACGGCGUAGUAAUGUGUAGGAACGUACCCUCUGGUCGGGGAUAGCUACGGGAAACUGUAGGUAAUACCCGAUGAUCUCUGUGGAGCAAAGGUGUGAUUCCGCCGGGGGAGCGGCUUACAUGAUAUUAGCUAGUUGGUGGGGUAAUGGCCUACCAAGGCUUAGAUGUCUAGGGGGUGUGAGAGCAUGGCCCCCACGACCGGAACUGAGAUACUGUCCGGACACCUACGGGUGGCUGCAGUCGAGAAUCUUCCGCAAUGGACGAAAGUCUGACGGAGCGACGCCGCGUGCGGGAUGAAGGCCCUUGGGUUGUAAACCGCUGUCAGAGGGGAUGAAAUCUCCGAGGGUUAUCCCUCGGAGUUGACAGAGCCUCAGAGGAAGCACGGGCUAAGUAUGUG
rnacentral:rRNA from 1 species